rnacentral:rRNA from 1 species
AAGUUCUUUCCAGUGGGAAAAAAAAACGGUUUACGGGUUAAACCCCCGGUGACUUCCGGCCGGUCCCCGGAAAAAAAAACCACCGGGUAUAAUUACGGGCCCAGCAGCCCGCGGUAAUAAGGUAGGGUGCGAGCGUUUAUUGGGAAUUACUGGGCGUAAAGCGUGCGCAGGUGGUAUUGUAAGUCAGAUGUGAAAUCCCCGGGGCUUAACCUGGGAACUGCGUUUGAAACUACAAUACUAGAGUGUAGCAGAGGGGGGUGGAAUUCCGCGUGUAGCAGUGAAAUGCGUAGAGAUGUGGAGGAACACCGAUGGCGAAGGCAGCCCCCUGGGUUAACACUGACACUCAGGCACGAAAGCAUGGGGAGCAAACAGGAUUAGAUACCCUGGUAGUCCAUGCCCUAAACGAUGUCAACUAGUUGUCGGGCCUUUGCGGGCUUGGUAACGUAGCUAACGCGUGAAGUUGACCGCCUGGGGAGUACGAUCGCAAGAUUAAAACUCAAAGGAAUUGACGGGGACCCGCACAAGCGGUGGAUUAUGUGGAUUAAUUCGAUGCAACGCGAAAAACCUUACCUACCCUUGACAUGUAUCGAAACCCGCAGAGAAGUGGGUGUGCCCGAAAGGGAACGAUAACACAGGUGCUGCAUGGCUGUCGUCAGCUCGUGUCGUGAGAUGUUGGGUUAAGUCCCGCAACGAGCGCAACCCUUGUCAUUAAUUGCCAUCAUUUAGUUGGGCACUUUAAUGAGACUGCCGGUGACAAACCGGAGGAAGGUGGGGAUGACGUCAAGUCCUCAUGGCCCUUAUGGGUAGGGCUUCACACGUAAUACAAUGGCGCGUACAGAGGGUUGCCAACCCGCGAGGGGGAGCUAAUCUCAGAAAGCGCGUCGUAGUCCGGAUCGGAGUCUGCAACUCGACUCCGUGAAGUCGGAAUCGCUAGUAAUCGCGGAUCAGCAUGUCGCGGUGAAUACGUUCCCGGGUCUUGUACACACCGCCCGUCACACCAUGGGAGUGGGUUCCACCAGAAGCAGGUAGUCUAACCGUAAGGAGGGCGCUUGCCACGGUGAGAUUCAUGACUGGGGUGAAGUCGUAACAAGGUAACCGUA